AGCGAACGCUGGCGGCAGGCUUAACACAUGCAAGUCGAGCGGGCACUUUCGGGUGUCAGCGGCGGACGGGUGAGUAACGCGUGGGAACGUGCCCUCUGGUUCGGAAUAACUCAGGGAAACUUGAGCUAAUACCGGAUACGCCCUUUUGGGGAAAGGCUUGCUGCCGGAGGAUCGGCCCGCGUCUGAUUAGCUAGUUGGUGAGGUAACGGCUCACCAAGGCGACGAUCAGUAGCUGGUCUGAGAGGAUGAUCAGCCACACUGGGACUGAGACACGGCCCAGACUCCUACGGGAGGCAGCAGUGGGGAAUAUUGGACAAUGGGCGCAAGCCUGAUCCAGCCAUGCCGCGUGAGUGAUGAAGGCCUUAGGGUUGUAAAGCUCUUUUAUCCGGGACGAUAAUGACGGUACCGGAGGAA
rnacentral:rRNA from 1 species